rnacentral:rRNA from 1 species
GACGAACGCUGGCGGCGUGCCUAAUACAUGCAAGUCGAACGGUAAGGUCUCUUCGAAGAUACACGAGUGGCGCACGGGUGCGUAACGCGUAUGCAACCUACCUUUAACGGGGAAAUAGCCCCGAGAAAUCGGGAUUCAUGUCCCAUAUUAUUUUCUGAAUGCAUAUUUGGAAAAUGAAAGCUCCGGCGGUUAAAGAUGGGAAUGCGUGACAUUAGCUAGUUGGUGAGUUAACGGCCCACCAAGGCGACGAUGUGUAGGGGUCCUGAGGGGGUUAACCCCCACACUGGUACUGAGACACGGACCAGACUCCUACGGGAGGCAGCAGUAAGGAAUAUUGGGCAAUGGACGCAAGUCUGACCCAGCCAUGCCGCGUGAAGGAUGAAUGUCCUAUGGAUUGUAAACUUCUUUUGUGCAAGAAAAACCCCUCGGUUUCGUACCGGGGCUGAUUGUAUUGCACGAAUAAGCAUCGGCUAACUCCGUGCCAGCAGCCGCCGUAAUAC